AAGGAGGUGCCAUGUGUCUAAGACACAUAUCGGAAUGUACCGACGACAUGCCGCCGACGUAAGGAGAGGGCGACACCAAU
rnacentral:sRNA from 1 species